rnacentral:misc_RNA from 1 species
GGUUUGUGCAAUUAGGGUUAGGGUUUUGGCCAUCGAUCCUUGCCUAUUUAUGUGCCGUCACACUCCUCUGUAAUUAUCUUCCUCUUUACUAUACCUGCAUUCUUAGAAGCAGGAAUUUAUGCGUAAUUUACAUGUAUCUAUGUAGAUAGAAAGGGAAAAAGAGAGGGUUGGUUGCGAUGAUUAGAAAAGAAAUUCCUCGUUCUGAAUGCUAUAGCCAUGGCAUGACAGACUCCUUUACACCCAUAGAAUAUGAGCACCGCCCUCAAAUUUCUCUUUAUUUUGGGUAAUUAAUUGCUUUAUUUAUAGAUUUGGUUUGUUGGCUUAUUCUGGGAUUAAUAGUAAUUUGUGUGGGUUAAUAUGAGUUGGAAAUUUCGCUGCUUUUUGCAAUUAUAUACUGUUUUUGAUUUGAAGAUUUGAUUAAGGUCUAAAUUCCCAAAUUUUCAAAGCUUUUCAAUUGAUUUAUAGUGUAGUCGCUACAAAAGAUUAUUGAAAAUUUUGUAGGAGUUGAAUUUGAUUUGCAAGGCAUUACACUUAAAUUGCAUUGUGUUGAUUCAACUCCGUAAAAUUAUUUGGUGGUGUUUAAAGCCUUAAUUUGAUGGAAGAUGCAAUUUCGUGGAUUAGGGUUACGCACACCUCCAUAUCAUUUUUUUUUUUUAAUU